rnacentral:rRNA from 1 species
CCUACGGGAUGCAGCAGUGGGGAAUAUUGCACAAUGGGGGAAACCCUGAUGCAGCGACGCCGCGUGAGUGAAGAAGUAUCUCGGUACGUAAAGCUCUAUCAGCAGGGAAGAAAAUGACGGUACCUGAAUAAGAAGCACCGGCUAACUACGUGCCAGCAGCCGCGGUAAUACGUAGGGGGCAAGCGUUAUCCGGCUUUACUGGGUGUAAAGGGAGCGUAGACGGCAGAACAAGUCUGGAGUGAAAUCCCGGGGCCUAACCCCGGAACUGCUUUGGAAACUGUGCGGCUGGAGUGCAGUAGGGGUAAGCGUAAUUCCUAGUGUAGCGGUGAAAUGCGUAGAUAUUAGGAGGAACACCGGUGGCGAAGGCGGCUUACUGGACUGUAACUGACGUUGAGGCUCGAAAGCGUGGGGAGCAAACAGGAUUAGAUACCCGAGUAGUC